GGGCGCAUGGUCUAGAGGUAUGAUAUUCGCUUUGCAUCUGAAAUUCAGAAUAAUGCCUGCGAAGGGUCCGGGGUUCAAUUCCCCGUGCGUCCA
rnacentral:tRNA from 2 species